rnacentral:rRNA from 1 species
GCAGCAGCCGCGGUAAUACGGAGGGUGCAAGCGUUAAUCGGAAUUACUGGGCGUAAAGCGUGCGUAGGCGGUUCGUUAAGUCUGUUGUGAAAGCCCCGGGCUCAACCUGGGAAUGGCAAUGGAUACUGGCGAGCUAGAGUGUGUCAGAGGAUGGUGGAAUUCCCGGUGUAGCGGUGAAAUGCGUAGAGAUCGGGAGGAACAUCAGUGGCGAAGGCGGCCAUCUGGGACAACACUGACGCUGAGGCACGAAAGCGUGGGGAGCAAACAGGAUUAGAUACCCCCGUAGUCCCUGUCUCUUAUAA